ACUUGACAUUUCAGACCUUGUGCCUUCCUGCACAUCUGCUCCUUAUCAGAAGCAGCAGAGCUGGGCGCUGGCACAGCUAGCUGCUCCACCCUUCCAUGGCCGAGCUCUUCUUCAGCCUUCUAACUGGCUGCACUAGCGUCUGGACAUCUCCUCAAUGAUGAACAUCCUGACUGACCGGUCAAGGUCUUAGAUGUCACUGCAGUCUUGCUGCCCACUCUGCAUCUGAGUCUUCCCACACAGGUGUGACCCUCUGACUCACUGGGACAUGAAAGGUGUCACAGAAAGAGAAACCUGUCUUGGUUCCCAGCAUCAACUCCUACGGUGGCAUGGCUUCAUCACCAUUGUCUCUCACGAGGAGUCCCCGUCCUACUACUCCGCCAGAGGUCUGCCUGGAAGCCUCAAUCAAUCACAGUGAGAGUCUUCUCUGUGAAAUGUGGAGCCAAGGUCCUUUGAAGAUCCCCGAAGGAAAGCUGGAGAGGAAGUGCUGGUCUGAGGCCAAAGGCAGUAAAGACUGAAAAGGGGCCAGGGACAGUGUCGAGAGCUGUGUCUGGCUUGGCACCUGCACCAGACCUUGUUGCGAGGGGAGGCAGAGCCAGUGAGAAAGCAGGUCUCCCCUCCCCCCGCCUGGUUCAUGACCUAUAUCGGAAGUGACACAGGAGGACUCCAAAAUGCUUGCAAGGCAGCCAGCGUGCAAAGUGCAAAGUGGCUGUGGGCGUGCCUGGCUGUUUCACGUCCCUGCGACCUUGACUUUCCUGUGACGAUGGACACUAGCCUGACAUAAUGAGCCACAUAAACCCAGUCUCCCGUAAGUUGCUUUUGUUCCAGUGUUUCAUCACAGCCACAAGAAACAAAACCGAGACUCGUCACUAACCAAGUCCCACAAAAUGUGUGACCAAGCUUUGGACUUCAGAAGCACUUCACUAUCAAAACGUGGGACUGGCACUCCCCACCCUCCUGGCCACCUUGCUGGAUUUGGGUGUAGAGCUGCAGUGAGUUAUGUGAAAGCGUUUUGUGGAUUAAAGACGCCAAGGGAGAAGACGAAGUUUGCAGAGCUCUAUCUAAAGAGGGGAUACAAGAAAGAAAAGGAGCAGGCGUGGGGAGAUGGAGAGAGGGUAUAACCUGUGGAUGGAGCUUGUUAUGGCUGGUGGAGACACUGUUCUGUGUUGGCACAGAACACAGUUGGUAGGAAAAGAAGAAGUCACUCUCAGUGCUCAGGGCAGCAGCAAAAAAACAAAAAACAAAACAGCAAGGUGCGUCAAACCAAGAUGGGAAGGCUGGCUGCUGGUGUCAUUUAGCACAGGGACGGAGUACGAAUUGUUAUAGUUGGAGGUCUCAAAGGCCCCAGCAGGGAAGUGCUAAAAUGUGCCAUCCAGUUUCCUUCUAACAGGGUAGAGCAGAGAGUCGCAGCCUUCCUCUGAACUGUGCUGAGUCCUUCACCAGCGCGGAGGAGCGGUGAGAUUGUAAGGACUGUCCUUCAGUCCUGAGCCCAUGCUCAGUUACACCAGCAUCCCUGGGCCUCAGAAAAACCGGAGUCCUUGUUCUGGGCCAGGUAGGCCCACGGGUGUCUCAGCCAGCCACAUUCCUUCCUGGCUAGAGGCUUCUUCUGCCCACUUCGGCUGAGGCAGGGGAAUUAUGAUAGUGGGAAGUUGUGAUCAGGAGCAACUGAAGACCUGAGACAGGAAUUGGAGAUGCCAAUCUCUUAACCAUUUUUUUUUCUACACUGCAUUUCAGGAAGUGAUGGUAAGUGCCUGGGAAUCACAGAGAUCCUGUACAUGCUCAGUAUUACCAGUCAGAUCCUGCUAAUGCAAGGACCACGGCAGUGAAACUUUCCAUAUGACAAAAGCAAUUUCCCCAGCCUAGCCGAUGGCCCACUUAUUUCAACAAUAUUCUACGCACCCACAGUGAUAGCUCUCUUCUCCCAGCACUCAGCUCGCUCAUUGUCUGUCCUGAUGGCGCUGUAAGCGCCUGUCAUCUGCCGCCAGUCCCCAGUGUUUGACGUUUAUUCUUCCUGCCUUCCCGUCGGCAUGAAGACAUCCUCAAGGCCGUACCAAACUGAUCUCUGCUGCAGAGACAGGGACGUAGAGUGGCCAGGCCUUCAGCAGAGCCCACCCUGAAUGCUUUCUACUCAUCCUUAAGUGCCUGUCACCUGGGAGAUGCAGAUCCCACUCCCUGUGGGUUCACAGGGUGGUGCCAGAAGCAGACCAGCAGACUGCUAUCAUGAUUCAAGGUGAAAGGCCUUUCCUAGAAGAGGACUCAGAGCAGGGACCCAUGGAGUCAGCAUCUAACAUAGGCAGCCAGAGUCCAGGAAGACAUCCUAGAGGAAAUGGACGACAGACAGGAGUGAUCCAAGCCCAGGAGGGGAAAGGUCAAGGCAUUGGGAAAACAUGGCUGGACUUCUGGGUGUGGGGCAUUGUGAAGUGGGGUAAUAGUAGCUCGGUUAGAUUGCAGGCUUACCUUUUUAUUCAGAAACACAGUAGAAAUCUUAUAUGCUUGCUGUCAUCUAAGCCUGACAAUGACCCCACUGUCCCCAUUCCAUGUGGCAAGGAGGAUAAAAAGACUGGGGGGGGGGCAUGUUGGGUGGCCCUGAGUAGCAUGAAGGUCGUACUUGCCGUUUUGGAAAGACUGCCCUGGCUUCGUGGUGAAUAACAGACGCAAGCGAGUGCAGCUGGAAGCAGGAGAUGCACCAAGGGGCUACAUUCUAAUCUAAAUAAGAGACGGGACCCCAGGUGUGGCUUGAGGGGAAGAGAAGUGGACCGGGACCUGAUAGGACCUCACCCACACACAGUGGAGAAGAGAAAGGACGAGACACAGGCUGGUUCCAGGAUCAGAGGAAGCCCCUGAAGGUCCCACUGUCCAUGCCCACCAGACUUGAGAGGAAUGAAGCACUCUGUGGGUGGCCAGGCUGCUGUGUAGAGGAUGUUUGAAUGGCAGGCAACUGCUGAGAUCUCAUCAGGCAAUACCUUGGUAUCUGCAGGAGCAGUCCCUCUCUCCAAGUGAAACAUCCCUGAGAGAUGCCAGGCCCCUGGUGCAGCCAGGCAGACUCGCUUCCGAUAGUGGUGUAAGGGGAAAGUGUGGUCCUGAAAACAAGGGCUCCAGAGAUCAAGAUGGAUGAGAUGGUAUAGGAAGUAUUGGGGUUCCAAUUCCAGGGCUCCCUUGGUUCAUUUUUAUGCAGGCUACCCGUGGAAUUUUAUGCAGUGACAGGAUACCAGAGACUUGGGUGAAUUAGUUACUUUUCUUGCCAACGUAACAAAAUGCCUGAUGGAAGUUGGUUAAGGUGGGAGUGCUCUGUCUAAGUUCAGUUUCUGAGGAAAUGGUCCACCACGGUGGGAAAGGUGGAGUGCUAGAGCAGUUCUGUGUCUCUGGCAGCUGUGGCAGCUGUGGCAUGUUUACAUCUGGGUAGCACAGGGAGCAGAAAGCUCAGGUCAGAAGCAGGAGUGGAUGUCACCUUCAAGACUCAUCCCCAAGGACCUACUUCUGCUAGCUAGUCCCUGAGUCUUAAAGGUUCUCCCAAAACAGUGCCACCAGCUGGGACCAAGUAUACAACACAUGAGCCUGUGGGGGACAUUUCACAUGCAAACCAUGACACUGGGUAGUUCAUAAACCACAGGGGGGCUUCUUUGGCCCACAAGCCUUGGAGGCUGGAGGGUUCAGUGCUAAGGUACUGAUGGUUAAGGUCCGGUGAGGCCCUUUAUGCUGCGUCAUGCCAUGGAGGAAGACAGAUGGGCAACGGUGUGAAGAGGAUGGCCAUAUACGAGACUAAGGAAAUUCAUCCUUUCGCCUCGAAUCGAUUCUCACAAUAACUAGCCCAUUUCCAUGAUAACAGAGUUCGUCAUUAAUCUAUGAGCUGUUGUCCUUGUGGUCUCCUCCGUCUUUGAAAGUCCCAUCUCUCAACCCUUCACACUGGAGGAUUGUUUCCAACGCAGACUUCGGGGAAACACAUUCAAGCUCCAGUAUUAAAAGUCCCUGCCAGGGUUCGGAACUAACUGAAGAAUCCACCUCAGCCUUCUUGGGGACUAGGGCAUCGGGGACUCUGUCUAGGAUGAGCUGAGACUGCAGUGUGGUUUUGUCUCUUCUUCAGGUCCUGACUUGGAAUGAGGCCC